CCCCAAAAGAUCCCCAAAAUCAAACUACUAAGAAAUAGUAAUCAUACUAAGGUCAAAUCAAAAUCAAAGUCUUUACAUAGACCCAAAACCCCAAAGAUCCCCAAUUUAAAGCCUAAGAGCUAGUGAACUUGGUAACAGCCUUGGUCCCUUCAGAAACAGCGUGCUUAGCCAAUUCACCAGGCAACACAAGCCUCACAGCAGUCUGAAUUUCCCUAGAAGUGAUAGUAGGCUUCUUGUUGAUCCUAGCCAAUCUAGAAGCUUCCUGAGCAAGCUUCUCAAAUAUAUCAUUAAUGAAACUGUUCAUUAUACCCAUUGAUUUGCUGGAGAUACCGAUAUCUGGAUGCACCUGCUUCAGCACCUUGAAGAUGUAGAUCUUGUAGGUUUCAAUGCUCUUCUUUGCCCUCUUCUUCUUCUUGUCGGCGCUGCAACUUUUACAGAAAGAUGAAUUGGAAUUUAAAUGAAGAGAAUGCGUGAGUGAUGAGAAAUGAUGAGGAGUGGAAUCGGUGAAAUGAUAGUUAUAUAGGGUUUGGAUUCUGUUGAUUGAUUGGUUACAUUAUUUUAACGCGGAUCGUGAAUGUGAGCCGUUGAUGAAGAGUAGAAUGGACGAUCAGUAAUGGCUGUACGAGUUGUUUACAAAGAGAAAAAAAUACUCCCUCCCUUCACUUUUACUUUCCUAUAAUACUCCAUUCAUCUAUUUUUAUUUGUUCAAUUUUUUAUUUACAAAGACACUAGAAAGUAUUUUGAAUAUAAUUUUAUCAUAUUUUUUUUGAAUAUAAUAAAUUUAAUCUUUUAAAAAAUUAAACAUAUAAUAAAUCAUAUUUAAUAUUAAAAUUAAAAAUAAAUAAAUUAGUUGUUACUUUUAUAAAUUGGAUAAGUAUUGUUGAACAAUUCAAAAUAAACAAAGAAAUACAUUUUAAUUUUAUUUGUUCACUUGAGAAAUUUUAUUUUUUUUUUCUAUUUUAUCCUUCAUUGAUUAUUUCAUAGGAGUAUCAUUUUUCAAGUUCAUCAAACCAUACACCACUUAUAGGAGUAUCAUCAUAAAAUAUACAUUUCAUUUAAUAUUUAUUAAGGAUGUGUGACAUCUAUUAUGAAUUAAUUAAAAAAACAUUAUUAAGAAAAAUGUUGUUUUUUCCAUCGAAUUCAUCUUUUUUUAAGUCAUCUAUAUCUCCAAUGUAGGAAUUAAGAGAACAAACGGAAAUGAAAGAGAGAAGAAUGAAGUGAUUUUCGAGUGGGGAUCACAAAAGAGAAUGAAGGAGAGAAAAAGUGAAGUGAUUCUCAAGUAAGGAGAGGGGUGUCCUUCUUCUCUAAAAGGAAAGUAGGAAAAAGCAAAUUCAUGAACUAGACAAAAUAAGUCUAUCAUCCUCAAAUAUAAGAUCGUGAUAAUAUUGAAGCGUCUCUCACUUUGUUUGAUCUUCUUGUCUUGACUUAGAAUUUUAAGUGAACAACAUGGCCAUGGCCUUGUGAAGAAAUUUAUUCCAAUCAUUUUAAUAGAGAUCUAAUACUUAGCAGACUCUAUACUGAGUUAUAAAGAAAUUGCACAAUUUAUUUAUAUGAAAAAAAAACUUUCUCAAAAAGCACAUAUGACUCUUUCAACUCACAACUUUUCAAGAAGUCAAACCUACUUCUUGUUACCAAAUCAGACAAACACAAGUUCCGAUGACUAUCACAAUUACCAAGCUAAAUAACUAGACUCUAACAAGAUCCAAACAAGCUCACGAAAACUCUUCCUGCAAAAACUCAUAAUUGCUCUAUGCUUCGAAUGUAUAACUUCUCCUAUUUCUUGAGAAUAAAGCCUUCUCAGUAUUAGUCAAUAGGUGGUGAAAAACGGUUUUGCUCGUCUUUGAAAGGUACAAAUAUAUCCUUAAACUUUGAUAAAUGUCAUACAUAUACCUUCCGUCAUACUUUAGGUAUAAAUAUACCCUUAUCGUUAAUAAAAAAGUACAUAUAUAUCCCUAAAUUUUGAUAAAUGGUACAAAUAUACCCUCCAACAUACUCUAAGUAUAAAUAUACCCUUGUAUUAAUGAAAAGGUACAUAUAUACCCUUCUUACUAAUGGCAAGACACGUGUCACAAUCCUAUUCAUUUGGCCUUUUUAAAUUUAAUUUACCACAACCCACCUCAAAAUAAUUCUAAUUUAACUCAUAACUCGAUCCAAAUAAUAACUCAAACCCGAUCCAAUCUAAUAGAAAGAGAAAAUGAAUAUGCAUGAAUAGAGAUGCGUCUUGGAGGUUCUAUUAGAUUGGGUCGGAUUUGGAUUGUUAUUUGAAUCAAUUUGUGGGUUAAAUUAUAAUUAUUUUCAGGUAGGGUGAGGAUAAAUUAAAUUUAAAAAGUCAAAUGAACUAGAUUGUGACAUGUGUCCUGCCGUUAGUGAGAAGUGUAUAUUUGUACCUUUUCAUUAGCGAAAAAAGUAUAUUUGUACCAAAAGUAUGACGGAGGAUAUAAUUGUACCAUUUAUCAAAGUUCAGGGAUAUAUGUAUACCUUUUACUUAAUGACAAGGAUAUAUACGCACCUUUCAUUAACGACAAGGGUAUAUUUUUACCUAAAGUCUGACAGAAGAUAUAUUUAUAUAUCAUUUAUCAAAGUUUAGGGGUAUAUUCGUACCUUCUCCCUUUUAUAGAUGCUUCAUGCUCUCCUCAGCUAAAUAUAAAUUCCUGACUUGAUGAAUUAUUUCCUUGUUAAGUAAGGACAUAAAAUGCCACCUCUCUUUCAAAAACCUUGCUAUGAAGGACAUGUAAGUUACCAUAAUUUAACUUAUGCUAAAAUUAGAUUUGCUGAUUCCCUUUCUUUUGCUGAGAAGGACAUGCAAGUUAUCAUAAUUAGAUGCGUGCUAAAAUUAGAUUUUGUCUUCAUCAAAACUUGGGCAUUAAAGAGUCUUCACCUUGUCCUUUCGCCACUAGAAAAAAUUAAGCACAAUUCAUUUGAACUAUGGUCUAUGAUAAUUUUUUUAUUGAUUUUAAAGAUAUAUUUAUAUAUCAUUUAUCAAAGUUUAGGGGUAUAUUCGUACCUUCUCCCUUUUAUAGAUGCUUCAUGCUCUCCUUAGCUAAAUAUAAAUUCCUGACUUGAUGAAUUAUUUCCUUGUUAAGUAAGGACAUAAAAUGCCACCUAAAUUUCCCUUGCUAUGAAGGACAUGUAAGUUACCAUAAUUUAACUUAUGCUAAAAUUAGAUUUGCUGAUUCCCUUUCUUUUGCUGAGAAGGACAUGCAAGUUAUCAUAAUUAGAUGCGUGCUAAAAUUAGAUUUUGUCUUCAUCAAAACUUGGGCAUUAAAGAGUCUUCACCUUGUCCUUUCGCCACUAGAAAAAAUUAAGCACAAUUCAUUUGAACUAUGGUCUAUGAUAAUUUUUUUAUUGAUUUUUGACGAUGGAUUUUUGUUGAAAAUAGGAUGAAUUGAUAUAUAAUUGCUAUACUAAAACUAGAUGCGAAUUCAACUUUCACGAAUCAAAAAACUCAGUGAUAUUUUUCAAAUUCAUUCAAAAAUAAUUUCCUAUAAAUUCUAUUUCGAUUUGACAUUAAAUAUAAUUCAACUUAUUAUUUUUCAAUUUAAACUUGCAUUAUUAUCCACUUAAAAUUCAUAAUUUAUUGCACCUAUGUGAUGAUGUCAUUCUUAUCAUUUUAAAACGUUUUAUUGAUUAACACGAGAACAAGUGUAACCGUAAGCAAGUUAUUAUAAAAAAUGAGAUCAUAAAUUAAUAAUACAAACAUUUUAAUAAACAUUAAGAGCAUGUAAAUAAUUCCACCAAAAUAACUCAAUUCCAACAAACCAAAUACAUAAAUACGUGAACAAUCCUUGCAUAAAGAAAUGUCCUUAUAAGAAAAUUAAAAAGGAUAAUUAACUACUUUCUAGAUUAAACUUAUCCUCUCUUGUAUCAAAUUCAACAUGCUUUUCUCAUGGACUCAUUUUUAAGGACUACACCAAAUUCGCUUGCCAGAAAAGGAUAAUCAUCCAAAUUCAACUUUUCAACUGUGCACUUUCGGCUAAUAUAUGAGUUUGAAUCUAAAAUUAAAACUUUUGUAAAUACAAAUAUGAAAACAAAACACCUUUGAGAGUUGGAGUAAUUAAUUUCUUGCAUCUCUUAUAAAAGAAGUUGCCUGACUAUAGUAAUUCGUUUUUGCAUAUACUAUUCAAUGGAUAAACUAAAACACCACAUUAAAGAAAAAUUAUUUCAUGGCAAAGUUUAGGCAAACAGAGAAAAUAGAAAAGAACCAAAAAAAGAGACUAAUUUGAAGAACAGAAAACAAUGUAUCAUUUUGAAAAGGUAGAAUAUUGUCUAUAUUCUUCUACAAAAAUUAUGAGUUAAAUGCUUCACUAAUACUCAAGGAAAAAAUAUAGAACAAUAUGAAAUCGUUGGUAUCCCUUUACAAGAAGUACCAUUUACCUUACCAUGAUUGUAGACAACAUUCAAGCGUAACGAGAAUCGGAUCCAGAUAUGACUAUACAUACCUUAAGCAGAACGGUGCAUUUGUUUAUGGUAAAUCACGAUUAUUAUGUGCAAUGCAUAGCGAAGACAAUACACCGCAAUCAUACUCUGUUUAAGAAUUUGUUUUCCGAAACAAUAUGAUAAAUAAAAUAAUAACCAACACAGAAUUUAGGUAGAUAAUAAGCAUUGAUUCAUUUGCAGUAAUCAUAUUAAGCCAAUUACAUAUCAAACUUCCAAAACUACCAGCCUUUACAUUGACCCAAAAGAUCCCCAAAUUCAUAAAACCUAAGAGCUAGUAAACUUGGUAACUGCCUUGGUUCCUUCAGAAACAGCGUGCUUAGCCAAUUCACCAGGCAACACAAGCCUCACAGCAGUCUGGAUUUCCCUUGAAGUGAUAGUAGGCUUCUUGUUGAUCCUAGCCAAUCUAGAUGAUUCCUGAGCAAGCUUCUCAAAUAUAUCAUUAAUGAAACUGUUCAUUAUACCCAUUGAUUUGCUGGAAAUGCCGAUAUCUGGAUGCACCUGCUUCAGCACCUUGAAGAUGUAGAUCUUGUAGGUUUCAAUGCUCUUCUUUGCCCUCUUCUUCUUCUUGUCGGCGCUGCCAGCAUCCUUUGGGAGCUUCUUCCCGGCCUUGGGCUUCUUCUCAGCAGGANNNNNNNNNNNNNNNNNNNNNNNNNNNNNNNNNNNNNNNNNNNNNNNNNNNNNNNNNNNNNNNNNNNNNNNNNNNNNNNNNNNNNNNNNNNNNNNNNNNNNNNNNNNNNNNNNNNNNNNNNNNNNNNNNNNNNNAGGAACUUCCUCGGCCUUCUUCUCCUCUACUGGCUUCUUCUCAGCUGGCUUUUUCCCUGCUGCUGCCUUUGGUGCCAUUGUUGAGAGAUUCUACAGAAAGAUGAAAAGAUAUUUAGAUGAAGAGAAUGCGAGAGUGAUGAGAACUGGAAUUGGGGGGGAGGGAGAAUUAUAUAGGGUUUUGAUUCUGUUGUUUGAUUGGUUAAUUUCGGCUAACGCAGAUCGUGAAUAUGAACCGUUGAUGAAGUAGAGAAUGGACGGUCAAUAUUGUCUAUUGCAAAUAGCUACUGUCCACGUGGUCAUCUUUGAUUCGAUACUUUUGGCUUUCGCGGAUCGCCGAUUUUAAGGUGAUUGUGUUCUCUUUGGCUGGUAAUAUUUGGCUGUUAAUUUAGGUGUUUGCUCUUGCAGUAAAUCCAGUAAAAUAUUAAUGUUCAAAUAACUUAUCUUUGAAUUCUUUAAUUAAUUAUCAUUAUUUAAACCAAAAAUUGUUAAGAUGUCUUGAUAUAUUACAUCUAAAUUUUUAAUUUUUUAUACCAAAAAUUCUUUGAUUUCAUGUGCUCAAAAUAAUAAAUUGGAAAACAAAAAAACAGAAAAUUUAAUUAAAAUAUUUGAGUCCAUGUUAUUAAGAAAUUUAAUCACCUUAUUGUACCAGUAUGUUGGAUUACUUUCCUUUAGGAUAAAACGGAUAUAUCUAUUGUUGAAGUAUCGAUACCUCAAACCCACAACUUUGUCAAAUUUGAAGACAGAAUAAAUCAAACAAAGACACGAUAUUUGUCAAAAAAUGCAGCUCAAUGCACUAAAGUUUUCAUUAUGUGUGGAGUCUGGGGAAGAUCUAUUAUACACAGUAUCACCUUAAGCUAGAUAUUUGUGACUAAAAAAUAUGCUAAAAAUUAAUUGUUAAAUAUGAAGCUAGUCCUCUUAUUUAUAUCCAACAAAGGGUAGUGUGGAUAGGUGCUAUAUGACUUAUCGAAAAAGUCACAACUUAUCCAAUAUGAACACUGACGUAUCUAGGUUCGAAAUUGUGGUGCUCCGGCUCCGGUUCAAUCCGAUAUGGAACAGAUAUGCUUAUAUAAGAAAUGUAUUAAAUUCAGUAUAAGAUGGAAAAAACACUUUUGAAAUCAAGAAAAUAGUAGAAUAUUUUAAUUUUAAGGCGGAACCUUAAUGCAUUUGUGUCGAUAUAUAUAUUUGAACCUCAUGAGUAUCCAUGACCCCCAAAUCUUCAGUCCGCCACUGGAUGUGAAAAUGUGCCAUUCAAAUGGCUUCUUUUCUUCUCACGUCCUUUCCAAAAAUACAUAUUCAUUUCUCAUGAAUAACUCUUUAAGCCCAACAAACGAUAUCGUUAGAAAUUUUAUUUUAUUGUUUCAAAAUGUCUAUAUGAAUUCAUUAUUCAUGUCAACGAGUCAAGAACUUGAAAGUGAAUCAUUCGGCGAUGGAAUGUUAAUAAAACAAAAAGCCUUUAACUGAAAGUAGACGACAAAUUUUAAAUGGUAAUGUAGGGAAGGUCUAUCGCAUUGAAUCAUAUCUUUUUUCACCAUAUCACUUAUAAUGAGAGUUACAUGAAACAUACCUUGAAGAUGGUAUCUCAUUGAAUAGUUUUUUUGAGAGCAUUAUUUUCCUCAAAGAAAAAUCAUUUCAUUGAUGGAUUGUAAAUCAUUUACAUGGUUAAUAUAAUUUCAAGAAACAUAUAUGAAAUUGAAAAUUUUCUUUUUCUAUAAUUCUGUCUCAGUAAUGCUUGUGGCUCUUAUGUUUGGAUUAAGUUGUUCUACAUAGGAGCAAGAUGACCUUCUUUAGACAAUUUAUUUUGCAUCCACCUUUGAAGCAUUUCAAGUGCAGCCUUGGGCUGAUCCAUUGGAACCAUGUGGCCUGCAUCAUGGACCUUGAGGAAAGUUAAAGGCCCAUGGCUCUUUUGAACUCCUUUUUCUACACCAUCUACUGCAAAUGAAACUGAUGAGGCUUUUCCAAAGGCAUUUUGCCCUGACCAUUUCAUUGCAUGUACCCAUCUUGAAUUUCCUGUCCAUAGAAAACAAACAUAGAAUUUAAUUGUAAAUUGAGAGCUCUAAAUUGACAUCUAUAAUGAACCUGAGAAUGUUCCUGGUCAAAAUUGUAGUGUUAGUUUUGUUGGGUCACGGGUUGUUUUCGUGCAUUAUCUUUCAAACCUCCAAUUUAUUGGACCAUAAUCAUAAAACUAAUUUGUGAGACCAGAGAAUACCUCAAUUAUGCCUUUAUAUGUUGUAAUGUGACUAUUAUAUAGUAACAAUAUUUAUAUAUUUGUGUGGAUAUGAUUAUGAUGUACUGUGAGUUGUUGGCGUGACUAUACUUACAUAGUUACCAUGAUAAUUUACAUACUUGAGCUCCUACUCACACUUUCUAGGACCGGCUUUAGCAUUUUUCAGCGUAUUUUAUUUUCUGUGGUACAUGAAUUUCUUUAAGUUACUCUUUCGUUACAAAAGUUCAUUUUAUAAUUUCAGUAUCGUAAUUUGUAAAUUUAAAGUUCGAUGAUCAUACUUAAAAUUAACCAGUCGUAUCAUAGAUAUAGAAUGUAGCUCUUACCAAGCCAAUUGCAGAUAAGGUCAUAUUCCCCUGCAUAUACUAGUAGCUUGAUACCAUCUUCAAGAAGUGAAGGAAUGCCCACUUCAAGAUUCUUCAUCCAGUCCAAUUGCAUUGCCUGGUAAACUUCAGAACUGCAUGAUACAAAUUCAAUAUUCCCAACACCAAGGGCUUGUCUAACUUUUUGAUCAUUCAGGAAAGUUUCCAUUUUGGAGAAAUCAUAGCACAGAUCACCCUCACAUGUCUUCCGCACAUCAUAGUACUGCACCUCGGAGAAAUUACAAAUUCAAUAAUAUGAGUUCAACUUAUGUACACGAACAAUAUAAGAAUUUUUACGCUACUAGAUCACCUAAAAGAUUAGUAACAGGACUAUAAGCCAGAUAGCCUGCUAGCUACGUACAAGAAGUUAAAAUUUACUGAUAGUAUCAAAACGAGAUUGCUCUUACAUUUUUGUCACCAGCAAUGUUCAUUAUCUUGUUGAAGAUGCUUGUACAAACAAGAUAUGCAGCCAUACAAUCAACUCCUCCACUUUUUCCUAAUUAUUAUUUGCACAUAGAACAACCAAUGUCAACUCUAUCUACUAUGCUGUAUGAAGAAGACUUUGAAGAUCUAAACAAACAAAAAAUGAAAAAGGAAUUACCACAAAGCUGAAUUGCCUGUUGACAUUUUGGAUAUGUCUUCUCUAUGACAUUGUAAUCAGAUUUUUUGAUCAAUUUCAUAUCCAGAGCAUAGUCAGUGUAGGCUUUGUACUGAAUUUCUGGAUCAGUCAGCCCAUUACCAAUGGCAAAUCCCUAAAAAAAAAUGUACUUACGCUUAAGUUAGCAUGAUAACUAUCUGGUUAAAAGCAAAAGGUGUGGUAUAAUGAGACGACAACAAUAACAACAUAUCUAGUAUCUUUCCGCAAGUGGGGCAACGGUAUACUGAGACAAUUAGUUGAAAAAAUACCUUGAGAUUUACGUAGAUUCCUUCUUUGUUUUUGUUUCGACGGUAUACUGAGACAAUUAGUUGAAAAAUACCUUGAGAUUUACGUAGAUUCCUUCUUUGUUUUUGUUUCCUUGGUGAACCCGAGAAGCAAAUGCAGGAAUGUAAUGACCAGCAUAUGAUUCUCCAGUAAUAUAGAAAUCAUUUUUUGCAUACUGAGGAUGUGCCUUGAAGAAGACCUAUAUAUACAUGUCAUCAAAAGAAUGACCAUUUUGAAUUUUGAAAAUUCAUCGAACCAUUUCAACGUUAAUGUUAUAAGUUAAUUAUAAAUUCAAAAAUUUAAACAAAAAGGGAGGAGGACAAACCUGCAAGAAAUCAUAGAGGUCGUUGCUUACGCCCCUUUCAUCGUGACGAAUGUCAUCUUCACUUGAGCUAUAACUAAAUCCAGUUCCAGUUGGUUGAUCAACGUAUAUCAGAUUUGAGCCCUGUUAAAAAUUGCAAUUUUAAUUUCAUUUGUAACUAUAUACAUAUAUUUUAACUUAUUGUAACAGUUUACCUAUUUUAUUUUUGCACGUUACGAGUCUCACUUUAAACAAAGAGAAGCUAGUCACUAAUGUCAAUCAGGUUGAACUACCUUUUGAAUUUCUAUAAUUCUAGAAGUCACAACUAAUAAACAGCAAGUUUUUUUUUUUUUUCUAAAAAAAAAACAAAGAAAUGGUAGUAGGUGAAAAGGUACUUUGCAUGAUGGAGAAAGGUUGAAAAAACAAGCAAAAACAUGGAGGGAAUUCUUUUACACCAUCUUCAAAAGAUCUAACUAACUAACUUUUUGAAAUUUAAUUGGGUGACACCUAAAAAUACAAAUAAAAGAAGACAAAAACAAGGAAAAAACAAGAACCUUGUCCCAGCCAAAAUCAUUCCAGACAAGAGACAUGUUGUCUGCAAUUUUGAAAGGUCCAUUUUCAUAAAACACAGCCAAUUCACUGCUACAUCCUGGCCCUCCUGUUAGCCAUAUAACUACUGGAUCAUUCUUCCUGCUCCUCGAUUCAAAGAAAAAAUAAAACAUCCUGCAAAAAAACAUUAUUUUAAAAAAAAAAAAACACAUAAUUCAGAAUUAAUCAUGAUUCUUUUUUCUUUUAACAAAUCAAAAUGAACAUCUAAUCCAAUUCAAACAGAGGCAUUUGCAUGUGUUUGUAUCUUGCUAGUUUGUUGUAAUCCAGUUCAAACAGAUAAUUAGCAUUAAUAGACAACACCCAUGAUUCUUCUUCUUUUUUUUUCUUUUUGAUCAAAAUGAACAUUAAAUCUAAUUCAAAACAGAUAAUUUAGCAUUAAUAAACAACAAUCCAGGUUCUUUUUUUGAUCAAAAUGAACAUUUAAUCUAAUUUUAACAGAUAAUUUAGCAUAAAUUAUAUAACUAAAAAAAUAAGAAAGAGUCGUCCACCCAACUGAUUAAAGUAAAAAUAGCCUCCGCGCAUAUAUGUGUAUGAUCACGUAUAAGCCCGGCUAUUCGUGUAAAGAUCCCUAUUAACAACAACAUGAUUCUUUUUUUUAUUUUUUUUAUCAGAAUGAACACUUAAUCCAAUUCGAACAGAUAAUUUAUCAUCAAUAAACAACACACACCAUGAUUCAUAUUCGAACAUUUAAUCUAAUCCAAACCUUGCAUCUUUAGUAUGUGGAAGACGAUAAUAACCAGCAUGAUGACCCAAAUCUUGAACAGUAGCUCCAGAAUCACCAAUAUAAGACAAAUUCAGUUUCUUCUCAAAUAAACUCUGAUCAGUAACCGCUCCAUAAUCCCCUAUCGCCUUGUUAAUUUCAUGUUUGGGGAAUAAAUUAAGCUGUCUGAUUAGCUUCUCCGCCAUUGUAAUCGGAAAUUUAGGAGCAGAAGAUAAGAAAACAACAUCGCCAUCGUUAGACUUUACAGAUGAUGAGAAAGAUAGAGAAACGGAGUGAAAAGGCAAAGCAAGGAAAAGAAGAGAGAAAUAAAAUGAAGACAUUAUUAGAGUUUUAUUUUUGUGUGUGUGAAGAAAUGGAAUUGUAUAGAGUGUGAGAUUUAUAAGGAGGAAGAGGAGUAGUUGGUAUGUAUGUAUGUGUAAGAAAGAAAGAGUGAGAGAGAGAAAAGUGGGGGGAAAAAGGAAAAAGAGAGUUAACGGGCGGUUUGUUUGUUUAACUGUGGUGCUAAUGCGGACAAACUGGUCAAGUACAUACAUAUUCGUCGCAGGGAAAAAGGUGGAUAACGCAACGAUUCUUCUUGUCUUUUUUUUUUCUUUUCUUUUUUUUUAUAUUUAUUUAAGCUUUUUUUUUUUUAGGAAAAUAAAAAUUGGGGUGGGGAAAGUGGAAAAUGAGGGAUGAGAUUAUGGCCCCAUUUGGUCAUGAAAAUUACAUUUUUUUCGGAGUUAGAGUUGGAGUUGAAGAUAAAUUGGAGUUAGAGUUGUGCUUGACCAUGAAUAUAAAUUAAAGUUGUGUUUUAAAAUUUUGUGAGAGAAGUAUGAGUGAAAAUAAGUAAAACUUGUUUUUACUUUUCCAGAUAAUUUUUCGGAAUUGAAAUUGAAAAAUUCAUGACCAAACACUGGGUGUUUUCACUUUUUUCACUAAAGUGAAAUAAUUUUUCGAAAAAAAAGAUAAAAAUUCUAUGGCCAAACUGCUACUAUAAGUUAUGGAAUCAAACGCUCCCUUAAAAAUUUGACCGACUGAGUCAGAGAUGGAUCCAAAAUUUAAAGUUUAUGGGUUUC
rnacentral:lncRNA from 1 species